UCACCGUGUUCUUUCUUCACUCAAGUUUCAUGUUCAUGUUUCUAAAUUUGGUGAAAGAAAAGUCUUUCUUCACUUAAGACUUUGUGAACAUUUUAUUUGCAGUAAACAUUGGUAUAUGAGAUUUAUAGGAGGUUGGUGAUAUCUGGAAAUUAUGAACACUGUGUGCCACUGGAUCCUGCACAGAGGUUACAGAGGUCUUGUGUUUAACAGGAAUCUGCUGUAAAGGAGGAUGAAAGAGGGUCACAUCAGGAAAGCCACCUAAAAUUAUGAAGCUAGUAAAACCUAAAAUAACAAUAAGCUGCUAAGGAUCUGGAUCAGGAUCUGGAUUCACAUCAGCUGAUGUAAAUCCUUACAG
rnacentral:lncRNA from 1 species